UCUGCCUCCCUCUCCAACGACCUUAUCUUCUUCCUCCGACGCCCGACGCCGCCUUGAAUCCAGUCUACCGCCGACGCUGCCCCUCGGCCUCCGCUCUGCCUUGCCGACGCUGCCCCGACGCCGACAAGACCUGCCCUUCCUCCUCCCACCUCCCUCCAUCCCUUGUACUCCAUCUUGGUCCUUGAAGCUCAGCUCCGCCGUUCGCCCCCGCCGCCGUCGGAUCCGCCGCCACCGUCUCAACCUCCUCCACGCUAAUUCGUCGACGGUGCUCGCCCUGCCGCCUCCACUGCCCCAACCGGGGGUCCCCCGCCGCCUCCGCUCCGUCGCCGUCUCAACCGCCACCACCGCCGGCCGGCGAGCCACCCGGAGCUUCCUCUACAGCUGCAGGCCACAGGUCAGGAUGCCUCCCCCUCCCAGCGUCCUCGCUGCGACGCUGGUCGCUUCUCAAUCAUCGUCACACCGCCGUUUCGCAGGUCUGCCCACGCACGGCAUGCUCUCCGCGACGUUUCAUGUCGGCCUCGCUUGUCCCCAAACCAGCAUGCAUGCUUCGUACCCGAUGUGCCUGCGCCUCACCAUCGCAAAUCCCCAACACCGGCGACCUCAACGAUGAUCAAGACUGACAUCCUGCGAGGCUGCGUGCAAGCCCGGCCCUGUCAGCAAUGGCAAGUUGUGCUAUAUUAUAUAUCGAGAUGAGCCGGUUCUGCUA